ACAGGGAUACUCGACUGCACAGU
rnacentral:siRNA from 1 species